CAGGAGGCCCCGGAGGCAGUGUACCUAGUGGACAUCUUCAGACCACAUUGAAGCACCAGCCAACCUCUCCCACAAGAGACACACUCAAGGGGUGGACUCAGCAGGCACCAGAGACCUUCUGAAGAACAAAGCACUUGAUGAAGUGCAAUGUGGAUCCCUUAAAAGAGGCAGAUGCAUGAAGUUUGGAGCAGUAAAUAAACUUGGAAUUUUGCAGUACAGAGAAAAAGGAGUAAAAGAGGAAGAGAAAAAGCAACAAAAGAAGAAAAAGUCAUUACCUAUAUGUGGAAUCUAAUGAACAAAAUAAACUCAUGAACAAAAUGGAACCAGAAGCAUGGACACAUGGAACAGACUGGCUGGUGCCCAAGCGGAGGGGGAUGUUACUAAAUAAAGAAGGUGAAGGGAUUAGCUAAAGAACAUAUAAUAUAUGUCAUAUAUGCAUACCCCAUGGACAUGGACAGUAAUGUGGGAAAGGCCAGGGGAGGGGGAGGCAGGAGUGGGUGGAGGUGGGCAAAGAGAACAAGUGGAAAGGGGAACACCUGCAAUAAGGUCAACAUUAAAAAUGUUUUAUAAUAAAAAGGAAGAAAAUUCUAGUAAAGGAAGCUGAAGAGAAAGAUGAAAAUUUGAAAAAGGAGGAACCAAUGCUCAUAAAAUAUUUUUAAAAUAUUCAAAAGCAAAUGACUAGAACUAGGCAACACAAAAGUGUCGCUUAUCUCUCAUCCUCUCUUUUUAUAUCUGCAUCCCCACUACCAUCCAUCUCUCCCUCUUCCAGCCUUUCUGACCAGGACAUUUUACAAAAGUCAAUAGUUUUGGGCAUGUUUUUUUCAAUAUACAUAUUAGAGCUAUUGCUUGUCAUUACAUGGGUGCCUCUAAUUAUUAUUAUUAUUUAAAAAAA